rnacentral:rRNA from 1 species
AUUGAACGCUGGCGGCAGGCCUAACACAUGCAAGUCGAGCGAGCGGCGGACGGGUGCGUAAUGUAUGGGGACUGCCCGAUAGAGGGGGAUAACUACUGGAAACGGUAGCUAAUACCGCAUACUAUCGGAUAACCCAUAUGGGAUUAGCUAGUAGGUGAGGUAAUGGCUCACCUAGGCGACGAUCCCUCGCUGGUCUGAGAGGAUGAGCAGACACACUGAGACGGAGACACGGGCAAGAAUCCUACGGAGGGAGCAGUGGGGAAAAUUGCACAAUGGGCGCAAGCCUGAUGCAGGCAUGCCGAGUGUAGGAAGAAGGCAGUAGGGUUGUAAAGAACUGUCAGGCGGGAGGCGUUAACGGCAGAAGAAGCACCGGCUAACUCCGUGCCAGCAGCCGCGGUAAUUC